CACACACACACACACACACACACACACACACACACACACACACAGAGAGAGAGAGAGAGAGAGAGAGAGAGAGAGAGAGAGAGAGAGAGAGAGAGAGAGGACAGUCUCAGGUUACUGACUUACUAGGGUGAGUUUCUCUUCCUCACAGCAGCGCUUUGCCUGUCUGGCUGCCAAGUGUGAGCAUGCCACCAGCGGCUGUUCCCUUCGAGCCAGGCUGUGUCUUAACCAGUCAUAUGCACCUCCUGAUAAACACCGAGCGGUGCCAGGAGGUCAGAAACCGAAGCUCAUUAUUCUCCCAGCUGGUAAACCUUCUGAAAACCUUUGGAGUGUGUGGCUUUAGAAGGUGUCUGGCCUUGAGUCUCGGACUUCUUGGAAUAUUAAGGUUCUGCUUUCCAAGGAACUCCAUUUGCAGCAGUGGCAGAAGCCAUCCCAGAAAGCUGAUGUGGUGAGGGACUGGAAAACUGCCACAUCUCAGGCAGCUGGCCGUGACGAUGCAGCACAAUGGAAUGGAGAGGUCUGUGGCUGCAUGACGAACAGGAAAGAGCAUGCUUGGCACCCUGAGGAUGUACUGGGGUACCUGUUGGCAUUUCCUUGCCCAAAUGGAAUAAAUGAACUGCAUCCUGUUUAAGGAUGGAGAUA
rnacentral:lncRNA from 1 species